rnacentral:rRNA from 1 species
UACGGAGGGUGCAAGCGUUAUCCGGAUUCACUGGGUUUAAAGGGUGCGUAGGCGGCUUUAUAAGUCAUUGGUGAAAGCUCGCAGCUUAACUGCGAAACUGCCAUUGAAACUGUAAAGCUUGAAUGUGGUUGAAGUGGGCGGAAUACAACAUGUAGCGGUGAAAUGCUUAGAUAUGUUUUAGAACACCGAUUGCGAAGGCAGCUCACUAAGCCAAUAUUGACACUGAGGCACGAAAGCGUGGGUAGCAAACAGG